GUCCCAGCUGUAAACUAUGCAAACUCAGUGAUGCAUUGGCUUGUGGCCAAUGCAGUGCUGCAGGGAAGCCGUUAAGUUUGCCGCCUGGGAAGUACGUACGCAAGUAUGAAACUUAAAGGAAUUGGCGGGGGAGCACCACAAGUGGUGAAGCCUGCGGUUCAAUUGGAGUCAACGCCAGAAAUCUUACCCGGAGAGACAGCAGAAUGAAGGUCAAGCUGAAGACUUUACCAGACAAGCUGAGAGGUGGUGCAUGGCCGUCGU
rnacentral:rRNA from 1 species